rnacentral:rRNA from 1 species
UCCCAGUUCGGAUUGCAGGCUGAAACCCGCCUGUAUGAAGUUGGAAUUGCUAGUAAUCGUAGAUCAGCAUGCUACGGUGAAUACGUUCCCGGGCCUUGUACACACCGCCCGUCACACCAUGGGAGCCGGUAAUACCCGAAGUCAGUAGUCCAACCUCGUGAGGACGCUGCCGAAGGUAGGAUUGGCGACUGGGGUGAAGUCGUAACAAGGUACC